AAACCUCUUUGUGCUGCAACAUGUAUUUCUACUGGUAGUCACCAGACACAGACCCUUUCUGCCUCUCCCUGUACACACCAAAGAGCUAAAACUACAGACUGCAUUGUAUGAAGGAGGACUGCUGCCUACCUUAGGUCUAUGCAAAUCCCACCUCCUGGGCAGUAUUUUAAAACCAGAAGCUGAAGCUGGCAGUCUUCUAUCAGAAUAUAUGUUCAACAUGUAUAUAUUCAGAAAACUCGGGAGGGGCUGAGAAAAUACAACAGCUUUUUAGGAUGCUACUUGUCAAGGGAGUCUUGUGGUAAGGAUAUUACAGCAUGAGUUAGAACAAUAUGCUUUAGUCCCUGUCUGCAAGAAAUGCUCCCUGAGACCUUUAAUAUCUCAUUUGUUUUCCUGCUGUCUUCAAAAUAAAUAAAAUAAGAAAAAUCUUAAUAUUAUUUCCU
rnacentral:lncRNA from 1 species